UUGCACCUGGUGGCGAGUGGCGAACGGGUGAGUAAUACAUCGGAACAUGUCCUGUAGUGGGGGAUAGCCCGGCGAAAGCCGGAUUAAUACCGCAUACGAUCUACGGAUGAAAGCGGGGGACCUUCGGGCCUCGCGCUAUAGGGUUGGCCGAUGGCUGAUUAGCUAGUUGGUGGGGUAAAGGCCUACCAAGGCGACGAUCAGUAGCUGGUCUGAGAGGACGACCAGCCACACUGGGACUGAGACACGGCCCAGACUCCUACGGGAGGCAGCAGUGGGGAAUUUUGGACAAUGGGCGAAAGCCUGAUCCAGCAAUGCCGCGUGUGUGAAGAAGGCCUUCGGGUUGUAAAGCACUUUUGUCCGGAAAGAAAUCCUUGGUUCUAAUAUAGCCGGGGGAUGACGGUACCGGAAGAAUAAGCACCGGCUAACUACGUGCCAGCAGCCGCGGUAAUACGUAGGGUGCGAGCGUUAAUCGGAAUUACUGGGCGUAAAGCGUGCGCAGGCGGUUUGCUAAGACCGAUGUGAAAUCCCCGGGCUCAACCUGGGAACUGCAUUGGUGACUGGCAGGCUAGAGUAUGGCAGAGGGGGGUAGAAUUCCACGUGUAGCAGUGAAAUGCGUAGAGAUGUGGAGGAAUACCGAUGGCGAAGGCAGCCCCCUGGGCCAAUACUGACGCUCAUGCACGAAAGCGUGGGGAGCAAACAGG
rnacentral:rRNA from 1 species